rnacentral:rRNA from 1 species
AACGAACGCUGGCGGCAGGCCUAACACAUGCAAGUCGAGCGCUGUAGCAAUACAGAGCGGCAGACGGGUGAGUAACGCGUGGGAACCUACCUUACGGUCGGGAAUAGCUCAGGGAAACUUGAGGUAAUACCGGAUACGCCCUUACGGGGAAAGGAUUAUCGCCGUUAGAUGGGCCCGCGUAGGAUUAGCUAGUUGGUGAGGUAACGGCGUCACCAAGGCGACGAUCCUUAGCUGGUCUGAGAGGAUGAUCAGCCACACUGGGACUGAGACACGGCCCAGACUCCUACGGGAGGCAGCAGUGGGGAAGUAUUGGACAAUGGGCGCAAGCCUGAUCCAGCCAUGCCGCGUGAGUGACGAAGGCCUUAGGGUUGUAAAGCUCUUUUGGCGGGGAAGAUAAUGACGGUACCCGCAGAAUAAGCUCCGGCUAACUUCGUGCCAGCCGCCGCCGUAAC